UAUUACGUUAAAAAUUGGACCCGAAAAACCCGCUAUUAAUUUAUUUGCCGUCGGCCGUUCGUAUUAAUGGAAAAUUAAUAAAGGAAAACCAAUCCCGUUCCCGGAAAAUAAAAACCCCGAUUAUAUUAAAUUGGUCCAACGCAAAUUACCAUCCCAAUUCGUUUACCUGGAGGGAUUUUUUUCGAAAAUAAUUUUAACCAACCUGCUUUUAUAUCGCCCAGGAUAUAAUAUAAUUUUAAAAUUAAACAAACCAAAAACAGGAUCGCCUCCGACGUACAAAAUAUUUGUGGAAUUUCUGCCGUUCGAAAAGGAAAUAAUUGACGAAUUGCUGCGUAUUGGGUUUAUUAAACCCUGUAUGCAGGCCGACCCAACGUUUAUUUUGUUCGUAUUUAAAUUAUAUUCCAAAAAACGCCGUUUUUACACCAAUUACCAAUGGAUUAACCAAUUUUUAAAAAAUCGAUUCGUACCAGCCCCGGAUACCAACGGAAUUAUUUUUAAUUAUCGCAACGCAAAAAGGUUUACGAAAAUCGACAUUAUUUAAACGUUUAACCGGUUAUAUAUAAUUGUUAAUUUAAAAUAUUUCACUGUUUUUCGCACCCGAUAAAGUAUUUUUUAAUGGAAAAUGCUUUUUUUUAAAUUAAAAAUCGGCCCAAUUUGGUGGUAAUUAUUUAUUAACGUUUAAUUAAAUAAAUUUUUGGAUUUAUUUGCCAAUAUAUACGCCGACGAUAUUUUAAUUUAUUCCGACGGAAACGAAAAAAAAUAUUGGAAUUAAAUAAAAAAAAGGUUAUUUACCGAUUAAACCGGGUCGAUUUCCAGGGAAAUAUAAAAAAAUUUCAAUUUAAUAUUACCACGGUCGAUUAUUUUGGUAUUAUUAUAAACGCAAAUUUGGGUAUCCGUAUCGAUCCAAACAAAUUGCAAACAAUUAACGAUUAGAAAUUCGAAAAUUUUACGUCCAAAACAACCGUGUAUUCCUUUUUGGAAUUGUGCAAUUAUAUUUAAAUAUUUUAUUAUUAUACCAGCAACGUUACUAAAUCGUUAAACCGAUUGUUAAAAAAAAACGCCAAAUUUGCUAUGGGGCCAAAAUAAAGGCAAAUAUUUGAAAAAAUAAAACGUUUAACCUGCAAUGUACCGGUUAUAAUAUUUUUUACCCCAGGCCGACCGAUUAAAAUAAAAACCGACGUUUUACGCAACGCGACCGGCGGAGCAAUUUGGUAAUAGCAACCGGGUGGAAAAUGGAAAUUUGUGGGAUAUUUUUUAAAAAUAAUAACCCCAGCAAAACGCGCAUAUCCGAUCCAAAACCGAAAAUUGCUAAUAAUAAUUUAAACGUUAAAAUAUUACAAAUUAAAAUUAUUGGGGAUAAAUUUUUUCGUGGUUAUAAACCACCAAAUUUUAAUUUAUUAUUUUACAAAACGAUUUUUUUCGAUUUAAUAAAUGCGUUGGGCAAAUUUCCUGGCCAAUUUUAAUAUUACGUUUUAAUACCGCCGCGGUAAAAAUAAUAUAACCGCCAAUACCCUGUCCCGCAAAACGGCAAACCUUUUAACAAUUAAAAUUCGGGAAAAAAAAAACAAAUAAUAAUUUUAAUCCCAUUUAAAAAAAUUAUAUUUACGGUGGCCGCCGUUAAUAUUACCGACCCAAACGCCCACGUGGUAAACGGCGCAAAUUUGGUAAACCUAAUACGAUAAAAAAACGAAAAACAAAAAUUAAAUUAAUAUUAAGGAAAAUUAAUAAUUCCGGAAACGAUUAUAAA
rnacentral:sRNA from 1 species